UACGUAGGGGGCAAGCGUUGUCCGGAAUCAUUGGGCGUAAAGAGCGUGUAGGCGGCCAGAUAAGUCCGCUGUGAAAUCUCGAGGCUCAACCUCGAGACGCCGGUGGAAACCGUAAGGCUAGAGUCCGGAAGAGGAGAGUGGAAUUCCUGGUGUAGCGGUGAAAUGCGCAGAUAUCAGGAGGAACACCCGUGGCGAAAGCGGCUCUCUGGGACGGUACUGACGCUGAGACGCGAAAGCGUGGGGAGCAACAGG
rnacentral:rRNA from 1 species